GCAGCGGGCGGGCGGGAGCCGGCGGGCGGGGAAUCCCUCCCUCGCGCGCCCUCCCCUCCUCCUCCCCCCUCUCUCCCCCCUUUCCCUGCUGUCCCCCCUCCCCCUGCUGUCCCCCCUCCCCCGCGUCCCAAACUGCGCACAAUAGCGCGCCGGCUCCUCUAUCUAUUUUGUGUCCAGCCGGGAGCCGCGAACGAUGAUUCAUUGCCCCAAUUAGGGGCUCUCUCCAGCGCGCCGGGCUCGAGCCGUCUGAAGGGUCUCCUCAGGGGACCGCGGAAACCCAUCAGCGGCUACAGCUGGUCUUUAAGUAAAGGUCAAGCAGGACGCAGAAGGAGCCAGAAUGAAGCAAGCACUUCUCUACUCUCCUCAGAAGGAGCUUCAAAUGUAGCACGCCGCUGGCAAAAGAAGUAUGUUCUUCUCAGAGGAAGGAGUGCAAUCGUUAACAGUAAAGGGAAACAAAACCCAGGAUUUACGGAGGCCUUGGGUUUAUGAACCAUUUCACACCUAUUGGGUCAUAUGACACAGUAAAGCAGGAAUAAUCAAACCGCCGUCCCCACGCAGGAGAGGAGGAACUGCGGCGGAAGGGCACCGUUCCUGGGACGAAGGCAAGCUCCCAGCUGCCGCGGCUGGUGAAAUGUCCUUCCUUUUGUACACGUAACUGUGCUAACUUGUUCACAUAAACAUUAAAAAAGAUUUGUGUUCAGUGACCCUAUCUUAGCAUCCCUUCUUUUUUCAAAUACAGUAGCCUUGGAGAGUGGAAGCAACGAAGCACUCUCCAGAUCUGGGUCCUGAGGACAUUCAGAGUUCUGCAGCCGUCACCACGGGCAGUUUGAGAACACUGUCAUCGCCUCAGAAAGAAACCCCAUUCCUUUGAGCUGUCACUCCUCAGUCCCUCAGGCCCUGGCAACCGCUGCUCCCCUGUCCGUCUCCGUGGAUGUGCCCAUUCUGGAUGUGUCAUGUGAGCAGAAUCACACACAAGUGGCCUUUGUGCCUGGCUUCCCUCACUCGGCGUGCUGUGUCCAGGUUCCCCCCCGAGUUGUCGUGGGUGCCAGUGCAGACGGCCUCCGCACCUUGUGUAAACAGAAUGCAAGUGUUCUUUGAGUCUGGCUUUCGGCUCUGUGUUACGUCUGGGAAAUUCUUCCCUGUGCCUGUAUAUAGGAGUGCAUGAUGUUUUGUUAUUGCUGUAUAGUAUUCCAUGGAUGAAUAUACCACAACUUAUUCACCCAUUCCAUUGUUCAUGGGUUUGGGGUAGUUCUCGUUUUAGGCUAAGAUGAAUACUAUUUCUCUGAACACUCUCACCCAUCCAUGUCUUCCCUUGGAAACACACGAGGAGGCGUUUGUGUUAGGCAGAUA